GAUAACGGGCUUGUGGCGGCCAAGCGUUCACCGCGACAUCGCUUUUUGAUCCUUCGAUGCCGGCUCUUCCUAUCAUUGCGAAGCAGAAUUCACCAAGCGCUGCGCUGUUCACCCACUAAUAGGGACGUGAGCUGGGUUUAGACCGUCGUGAGAUGGGUU
rnacentral:ncRNA from 1 species